rnacentral:lncRNA from 1 species
AAUCACACAACAUCAAUUUAAGAUCGCAUUCUUUUGAAAUGCGAUAUUAAAUCUAGCAACACUGUUCUGAUUUUGUUGCGCACGCGUGCUCGGCCUCAAGCCGCCAUUUUCAGUUUACCGCAACCGAUGGAUGUUGUGUUUUGGAAAAUCAUUGACGGUGUUGAUACAUAUUGCAAUGAGCAUUCUUAAAUGACGGAACACAACUGUUGCUGUCCGAAAUCAGCCUAUCAGCGGCCUAAAGAACGCCGUCAAGAGUGAAUCCUUGAAAAUAUGGAGAAAGCUUGUCGGAUUGAGUGAAACCAAAAGGAAUCGAGUGCGAAAAAAAAGCGACCACCCAGCGCUCCACGCUAAAGAAUCGUUAUCGAUUCCUCCAAACUACAGGUCAACCCAAUGCGUUGGCAGCAUCUACGUCUUGCUUGCUCAGCGAUGGAUCAAAGAACGUAUUCCGGUAGCAGUUCGGUGUACCUGUUUCCUCAAGCUGUAACAAAUUUCCAACCGGAAGAAUCAACAAUAAAAGGGGAUGUUGCGCUGGAAGCUACAUCAUCCUCAUCUACAAAACUUCCGUCACAGCAACGUUUCGUCAACAGACAGCGUGGACCUCAACCUGGUAAAUAUAAACCAUUGGAUGAAGGCUACGAUUCCAUCGCACAUGGCAAAAAACGAACCAUUCCUGGCUGAUCCACCGAAGGCACACGGGUGACCAUGAUUUCGCUCUACAUGGGAUGUAGCGGAGACACCAGCUGCUCCGCUGUUUUGGAACGGCACGAAAAACAUGAACGAGCUCUACGAUUCAUUUCACUGUUGGCUGAAAGAAACUAAUCACUACAUGAAGUGCGUGCAGGCUUGAAUUUAAUCUCUGUCCACUGCGGGUUCUCGGACUAUCACCUGAAGCGCUCCAGUCGUUAUGCUGCAUCAUUUUAAAGUUUUUGAAGCAAUAAAAAUGAAAUAAAUAAUGUAAAUUUAUUUUAUUUUGUUUGAAA